AGAUGCUUGUUAGUAAGUGUUACAGGUCUUCUUUACCACCGAGGAAAGACAGAAUGCUACUAGAGUCCAGAAAGAAUGUUCCAGACAUGGAUGAAUGACCCUUACUCCUGAUUGUUGACUUCAAUACUCCUGAAUGUAAGGAGUGCUCCAGGUCUACCGCCAGGCUCCAAAGGUGAGUCUCCAAAGGGCUAGAAAAUGCCCCACCAAUCUGACUAAGAUAAAGAAAAGAUAUAAAGAGAAAGUUACAGAAACUUGAGGGGUUAAGAUAAGUUGCUGAGAGAGUUAGUGUAAGUUUCAGAGAAAGUAAGGUUGAAGAAGAGAAAGAAGAAAGAAGGCAAAAAGUGCAGGAAGCUGGGGAAGAAAAGAGACAAAAAGAAGAGGAAGCUAGAGAGCUAAAGAGAGAUAAAAGGCAAGAGAGGAAGAUAUACUGACCACAGUAGUUAGGGAACCUAGGAAGACAGUACCUGGCAACAGAAGAGAAUUCCUGGCUAAAGAUCAGUGUGCCUAAUGCAAA